rnacentral:rRNA from 1 species
AUUGAACGCUGGCGGCAUGCCUUACACAUGCAAGUCGAACGGUAACGCGGGGCAACCUGGCGACGAGUGGCGAACGGGUGAGUAAUGCAUCGGAACGUGCCCAGUAGUGGGGGAUAGCCCGGCGAAAGCCGGAUUAAUACCGCAUACGACCUACGGGUGAAAGCGGGGGACCGAAAGGCCUCGCGCUAUUGGAGCGGCCGAUGUCAGAUUAGGUAGUUGGUGGGGUAAAGGCCUACCAAGCCUACGAUCUGUAGCUGGUCUGAGAGGACGACCAGCCACACUGGGACUGAGACACGGCCCAGACUCCUACGGGAGGCAGCAGUGGGGAAUUUUGGACAAUGGGCGCAAGCCUGAUCCAGCCAUGCCGCGUGCGGGAAGAAGGCCUUCGGGUUGUAAACCGCUUUUGUCAGGGAAGAAACGCUCUGGGCUAAUACCCUGGGGUAAUGACGGUACCUGAAGAAUAAGCACCGGCUAACUACGUGCCAGCCGCCGCCGUAACAC